rnacentral:rRNA from 1 species
UGAGUAACGCGUGANAAUCUACCUUCGGACGGGGAUAACAGUGGGAAACUGCUGCUAAUACCCGAUAAGCCCGGGAGGGGAAAGAUUUAUCGCCUGAAGAUGAGCUCGCGUCCGAUUAGUUAGUUGGUGGGGUAAAGGCCUACCAAGACAGCGAUCGGUAGCUGGUCUGAGAGGACGACCAGCCACACUGGGACUGAGACACGGCCCAGACUCCUACGGGAGGCAGCAGUGGGGAAUUUUCCGCAAUGGGCGAAAGCCUGACGGAGCAAGACCGCGUGAGGGAAGAAGGCCCUUGGGUUGUAAACCUCUUUUC